GACGAACGCUGGCGGCGUGCUUAACACAUGCAAGUCGAACGGAAAGGCCUGCUUUCCCUUGUGGAUUGCGGGUACUCGAGUGGCGAACGGGUGAGUAACACGUGAGUGAUCUGCCCCCAACUUGGGUAUAAGCCUGGGAAACUGGGUCUAAUUCCCGAUAGGACUGCAGGGUGGUGCCUGUGGUGGAAAACGAUUUUCUAGUGGUUGGGGAUGAGCUCGCGGCCUAUCAGCUUGUUGGUGGGGUAAUGGCCUACCAAGGCGGCGACGGGUAGCCGGCCUGAGAGGGUGGACGGCCACAUUGGGACUGAGAUACGGCCCAGAAUCCUACGGAAGGCAGCAGUGGGGAAUAUUGCACAAUGGGCGGAAGCCUGAUGCAGCGACGCCGCGUGGGGGAUGACGGCCUUCGGGUUGUAAACUCCUUUCGACCGCGAGGAAGCCACCUGGUUGGAAGGGUGGUGACGGUAGUGGUAGAAGAAGCACCGGCUAACUACGUG
rnacentral:rRNA from 1 species